rnacentral:rRNA from 1 species
UACGGGAGGGUGCAAGCGUUAUCCGGAUUCACUGGGUUUAAAGGGUGCGUAGGUGGGGCGGUAAGUCAGUGGUGAAAUCUCCGAGCUUAACUUGGAAACUGCCAUUGAUACUAUCACUCUUGAAUAUUGUGGAGGUCAGCGGAAUAUGUCAUGUAGCGGUGAAAUGCUUAGAUAUGACAUAGAACACCAAUUGCGAAGGCAGCUGGCUACGCAUAUAUUGACACUGAGGCACGAAAGCGUGGGGAUCAAACAGG